UUCAAUUCUUCUUUUUCCAUGACACACAUAGAACCAUAUAUGUAUUAGACAACUCAAUUCUAUCACUAAAUUAUAUAUAUAUAUAUAUAUAUAUUUUAUAUUCUUAACGGGUUAACGGAUUAGCCGUUAAGAAAAUUGAAUAAUCCAUCCCCAAACCGAUAAGCCGUUAAAUAAAAAAAUUUAAUCCGUUCCCCAUCCAUUAAGCCGCUAAGCCAUUACCAAUAAGCCGUUAAGCUUCGGUUUGGAUCGGCUUUCGGUUUCGGAUCAGUUUUGAACACCCCUACUGAAAACGGUUCAAACAGUCCAAUACAGUCCAUAAUUAUACAAAAGUCCUACUUAAUACCAGUAGGUACUCCUUCAAAUGAAUAUUACAACUAAAUAUUAAAGCUAGUAAUGACAAUAGGGAACAUUCAGGUGAAACAACAAGUACUUCUUCAUUAUUUGAUUCCAAAGGUGGUUCAUAAAUAUUGCUUCAAAUUUCCAGAUACCCUAGGUCAAGGAAAUGUACCUGGAAUCGAAGUACGAUAAAUGAAGAAGGAAUCAACAGUAGAAAAUAGAAUCAGCAGUGAAAACAACAGCACAAGAUCAAUUUUGAAUCCAAAACAGCAUCAUAAAGCCCAGGAAUGAAUGAAGGAGGAACAACACCAACAAAAAUACUCAAAACAGACUCGAUAGAACCCCACAAACUUGAAGUUAAACCCAGGACAAAUUCUGCAACUUCAUCAACCAGAAACACAUAUCUAUCUAAGCUAGGAAUUCAAAUUAACAGUUGAAAUUUUGGAACUAAUCUAAGAAAACAUUAAUGUAACAAAAUUUUUUUGGAGUUUUUUCUGUUGCUUUUACUUUUUUUUUUAAGAAACUAAGAUCUAAAAUAAACUUUCCUAAAUUUCAGAUUUCAGAUUUGGUCUUUCAAUUUUUGUAUUCAAAUUUUCAGAUCUCCAAACUUCUUUCUCAAGGCAAGGAUAUGCCCCUCUUUUAUAGGCAAAACUUAGGGCAACCCAUUAUAUUUCAAUUACACUCUAAGUCCUUCUUUUAUUUUUUACGAUUUUGCUUAGUUAAUCCCUUAAAUUUUGACUUGUUGGUCAAGUUAUACCGAUUAAGUCUUGAAUUUCAGAUUGAGACCCUAUCUAGAAGAUUCUAGUGGGUUCUAAUGUUAGUUACUGCAUUAUUCUCAUUUUGAAGUACCUAAACUACCCUUAAUUCAAUUUUCAAAUUACUAACCUGGUGAAAACUAACCCCUAGCCCCUUUUAAACCCUAGUCAAGUAUCCCUAGUUAAUGCCCAGGAGCUAACAUCAUUCAGCUAUAGCCAAAUAGAUCCUAAGAUUGAACUAAUCAAACAAUCUAAAAGUUUUAAGCCUAAUUAAUACUAGCGUUCUAAAUCUAAAACUAAAAACAGUGAGUUACCAAAAAAUAAAUAAAAUUAAAACAAAGCCGAUACUAAUCAUGGGUCAAUAAUCGAAAUUAAAACCAAUGUCAAAAGAAUAGACUCAUGCUUUCAGUCUAGAACAUUUGAAAUCAAACACCAAUUUAAAGAGAAAUAGAUUCAUAUUUUCAGUCUGAAACAACCAGAAUCAAACACAAAAAAGGAAGAAAGAAAAGAAAUAGACUCAUGUUUCUAAUAAUCAACACACAAAAUUGAAAACACCAAACACAGAAUGGCAAACAGAGAAAGAAAGAAGAAAAGAAGAAUGAGAAUUAAAGCUGAAUCAUGAAAAGGGGUUGGGUAUGAAUGAGAAGCUUCUUUUAAUUAACCUAGUAUAGAAAGAAAACAAAUAAAGAAAGCUAAAAACUCACGAAAUGACUCGAACGAAGCUUGAAGCUUUGAUUCAUCUAAAAUUGAGGCUAAUCUCUUAUUCUUCGCAAGGACGAACGCAUGACAUCAAUUUAUAAUGAAUCGAUUCAAAGAAACCGAGGUUUGGGUCAACUGGCUCGAACCAUUGACAUUUGGACUUCAGAUCUAAGGUUUGAACAAAUUUGGACAGUCUUGAAGGAAAAUAAUGACAUACUAGGCAUGAGGAAGGUACGGGGUUAUGGGGUAUUGUUUGGGAGAGGCGCCAUCGUGGGUGGCGAAGCAGUCGCCCCUUCAAACAAAUAUUCGAGGAUUUUGGCUGUGUUUGAGGGAUGGGACUUACGAAUUUGGGACGAGGAAAGUUUGUAGCCAUGUGGUGUUCUUUGAGGUUGUUUAGUGUCGGCGCUCGGCGAAGCAACCACCACUUCGAUUGAAGAUUCAAGAAGAUCGGCUAUGAUUUGAAGACUGGUAAUGGUGUAUUCGGAAAGAGGAUGAUUGGGGGAUCAAUUAGUGUUACUUUGGUAGCCAUUGGACUACCACUGCCGGCGGAGGCAAUUUUUGGCCGGCGGUUUGCAGCAGAAGGAGGUGGUAGAGAGGUGGCAUUACACCGGUGUAUAUUGAGGUGUUUUGAGAGGUAAUUGAGGGGUAGGGG
rnacentral:lncRNA from 1 species